rnacentral:rRNA from 1 species
UACGGAGGGGGCUAGCGUUGUUCGGAAUUACUGGGCGUAAAGCGUACGUAGGCGGCUUUGUAAGUUAGAGGUGAAAGCCCGGGGCUCAACUCCGGAACUGCCUUUGAUACUGCAAAUCUCGAGUCCGGAAGAGGUGAGUGGAAUUCCUAGUGUAGAGGUGAAAUGCGUAGAGAUGUGGAGGAACACCAGUGGCGAAGGCGACUCUUUGGCCUGUAACUGACGCUGAGGCGCGAAAGCGUGGGGAGCAAACAGG